rnacentral:ncRNA from 2 species
UUCUUAUCCAGAAAGGUGGAGGGUAUGGCCCUUUGAAACCUUAGCAACCUGUUCUCGCUUCAAAAAGAGAAUAAGGUGCUAACUCCUGCCGCACGCAAGUGUGGAAAGAUAAGUU